ACAAGUUAUCACAAUUUUACUGUAGUAAUAAUAACAACUAGUCAGUAUGGUGUUUAGGUGUAAGCUAUAGUUACAAAGCUAAUUUUUUAACCCCUUGAAGUGGUUACGUUCAUAAACAUUAUGGCAACCUGAGAAAGGAGAUACUUUGGAAAAUAUGUGUGAAAAAACAAGAUGAAAUGAGCUUUCUUGUUUCUCAUUCUCUAGUGACGACAGAGGCUGAGGGCAGAAAGAGAAGAAGGAGUCCUUUCACACCUCUAGAGUCCAAAGGGUGCGCCGACAUGCCUCAGGUUUGGAUAGUGUCACUAAGCCACCGUUCAUCCUCACUGAACGUGUGCGCGGCAUGAUAGCAGGUCCGCUGGGAUGAACGGUAAUUCCUCCCCGUUCAUGUUCCUCAACCUUUCGGCAGCUGUUUGGAUCCCUGGAGGAAGUUCACCUGUAACUCCUUUUAUACAGCAUCAAAUGGGGCUCUGUAACAUCUGCUCAGCCACUGUAUCGUCUCUGAGAAUAUAUUCCAGAUUCCCCUCAAGCUGACUGUCUCUGACACUGGUACGAGCAGCUGAUCCAGUCAGAAAUGGCACAGCACUAUAUGCAGGUUUGAACAGUGUCCAAAAUAAUUAUUGAAACUGCAUUUGGAGGUAGUUAGUAAUGCGUAUGAAAUCUGUACACAAGCGGCCACGGAGAUGUGUGUUGCUAUCAGGUGUAAACAGAAAUCUGUCUCGCCUGACCACUUGUGAUCGGAUCACCCGAGACAGAUUUUAUUCCCAGGUGUAAACGGGGGACGCAGCUUAUCUUCAGCACAUCCUCUCAUCCGUUACCGGUGUCAGGAGUGCAGGACUUUUUUUGUUUGUUUCUUUCUUUCUUUCUGUCCAAGCCUGUCAGAGCAAGAACGCUGCUGUUCUUCACCGCUGCCUUAUCUGUGCCUGUGAUUGUUACAAAAGCUGUCACUGGGGCGGUACUCUUUCAGAAUAUGCACCUUUUGGGUACUUAUUUGCUCCCUUUAUGUACUAAUAAUGUACUCUUGAGGUAGAAAUAUGCACCCUAUCAGGGGUAAAUAAGAUACAAAGGUGUA